UAAAAUACCUAUUUUACCCUUUUAAUUUUAUUCAAACCCUAACACCCUAGCCUUUUCUCCCACUCCCACUCCCACAUCUAUCAGCCGACAUUUAUCCCCCCUCUCUCUCUUUCUCCCUUUCUCUCUCUCUCUCUCUCUUCAUCUCUCUCUAACUCUCGCUCUACCCACAGUCCACCGUCGCCGCCGCUGUUCCCUCCCCUCGUUGCGCCGCCGCCGCUGCUCCCCCACCUCGUUGUACCGCCGCCGCUGCUCCCCCACCUCGUUGCGCCGUUGUUGCCGCUCCGCUACCUCGCAACGCCGCCGUCGCCACUCCCCUACCUCGCAGCGUUGCCGCCGCUCCGCAAAUACACUCUCAAAUCCAACCACAAAGAUCAACACAGGUUUUGCUUUUAUUAUGCUUUUAUGAUAUGCAGGGAAUAAGAUGCGAUGAAGUGCCUAAUGAAGUUGGAUUCAUGCUACAGUAGUCUAGACUUUAUGUCACUAUAUAUUAAUAUAGAUAAUUGUAGAUAACUAUAGUCAUCUGUAGUAACAUAUAGUUAUAUGUAUGUUAUAGGUUUUUUAAUGUGUUCAUGUUUGAAGAAUAUAUGCAUGUGAUUGUAUUUUUUUUAUUUUUUGUUUGUUAGUUGAUUUAUAAUAUCAAGAUCUAAAUUG